UACGAAGGGGGCUAGCGUUGUUCGGAAUCACUGGGCGUAAAGGGCGCGUAGGCGGCUUUAUAAGUCGGGGGUGAAAGCCUGUGGCUCAACCACAGAAUUGCCUUCGAUACUGUAGAGCUUGAGACCGGAAGAGGUAAGUGGAACUGCGAGUGUAGAGGUGAAAUUCGUAGAGAUCCGGAAGAACACCGGUGGCGAAGGCGGCCUGCUGGGCAGUUGCUGACACUGAGGCGCGACAGCGUGGGGAGCAAACAGG
rnacentral:rRNA from 1 species